CCUAUCAACUGUCGACGGUCCGGUAAGUGCCAACCGUGGUGGCAGCGGGUAACGGGGAAUCAGGGUUCGAUUCCG
rnacentral:rRNA from 1 species